rnacentral:rRNA from 1 species
GACGAACGCUGGCGGCGUGCUUAACACAUGCAAGUCGAACGGAAAGGCCUGCUUUCCCUUGUGGAUUGCGGGUACUCGAGUGGCUAACGGGUGAGUAACACGUGAGUGAUCUGCCCCCAACUUGGUUAUAAGCCUGGGAAACUGGGUCUAAUUCCCGAUAGGACUGCAGGGUGGUGCCUGUGGUGGAAAACGAUUUUCUAGUGGUUGGGGAUGAGCUCGCGGCCUAUCAGCUUGUUGGUGGGGUAAUGGCCUACCAAGGCGGCGACGGGUAGCCGGCCUGGGAGGGUGGACGGCCACAUUGGGACUGGGAUACGGCCCAGACUGGUACGGGAGGCAGCAGUGGGGAAUAUUGGACAAUGGGCGGAAGCCUGAUGCAGCGACGCCGCGUGGGGGAUGACGGCCUUCGGGUUGUAAACUCCUUUCGACCGCGAGGAAGCCACCUGGUUGGAAGGGUGGUGACGGUAGUGGUAGAAGAAGCACCGGCUAACUACGUG